rnacentral:rRNA from 1 species
AGCGAACGCUGGCGGCAGGCCUAACACAUGCAAGUCGAACGGGCUCUUCGGAGCUAGUGGCGGACGGGUGAGUAACACGUGGGAACGUGCCUUUAGGUUCGGAAUAAGCCCGGGAAACUGGGUCUAAUACCGAAUGUGCCCUUCGGGGGAAAGAUUUAUCGCCUUUAGAGCGGCCCGCGUCUGAUUAGCUAGUUGGUGAGGUAAUGGCUCACCAAGGCGACGAUCAGUAGCUGGUCUGAGAGGAUGACCAGCCACAUUGGGACUGAGACACGGCCCAAACUCCUACGUGAGGCAGCAGUGGGGAAUCUUGCGCAAUGGGCGAAAGCCUGACGCAGCCAUGCCGCGUGGAUGAUGAAGGUCUUAGGAUUGUAAAAUCCUUUCACCGGUGAAGAUAAUGACUGUAGCCGGAGAAGAAGCCCCGGCUAACUUCGUGCCAGCCGCCGCCGUAAGAC